rnacentral:rRNA from 1 species
GAUGAACGCUGACAGAAUGCUUAACACAUGCAAGUCUACUUGAACUUCGGUUUGGGUGGCGGACGGGUGAGUAACGCGUAAAGAACUUGCCUCACAGAUAGGGACAACAUUUGGAAACGAAUGCUAAUACCUGAUAUUAUGAUUUUAGGGCAUCCUAGAAUUAUGAAAGCUAUAUGCACUGUGAGAGAGCCUUGCGUCCCAUUAGCUAGUUGGAGAGGUAACGGCUCACCAAGGCGAUGAUGGGUAGCCGGCCUGAGAGGGUGAUCGGCCACAAGGGGACUGAGACACGGCCCUUACUCCUACGGGAGGCAGCAGUGGGGAAUAUUGGACAAUGGACCAAGAGUCUGAUCCAGCAAUUCUGUGUGCACGAUGAAGUUUUUCGGAAUGUAAAGUGCUUUCAGUUGGGAAGAAAAAAAUGACGGUACCAACAGAAGAAGUGACGGCUAAAUACGUG